AUUGAACGCUGGCGGCAGGCAUCACACAUGCAAGUCGAGCGAGCGGCGGACGGGUGAGUAAUGUCUGGGAAACUGCCUGAUGGAGGGGGAUAACUACUGGAAACGGUAGCUAAUACCGCAUACCAUCAGAUGUGCCCAGAUGGGAUGAGCUAGUAGGUGGGGUAACGGCUCACCUAGGCGACGAUCCCUAGCUGGUAGGAGAGGAUGACAAGCCAGACGUGAACUGAGACACGGUCCAGACUCCUACGGGAGGCAGCAGUGGGGAAUAUUGCACAAUGGGCGCAAGCCUGAUGCAGCCAUGCCGCGUGUGUGAAGAAGGCCUUCGGGUUGUAAAGCACUUUCAGCGGGGAGGCGUUACCCGCAGAAGAAGCACCGGCUAACUCCGUGCCAGCCGCCGCGGUAAUAC
rnacentral:rRNA from 1 species